UGACCCCAUGCCGAACUCAGAAGUGAAACGCCGUAGCGCCGAUGGUAGUGUGGGGUCUCCCCAUGCGAGAGUAGGGAGCUGCCAGGC
rnacentral:rRNA from 1 species